rnacentral:rRNA from 1 species
AUUGAACGCUGGCGGCAUGCCUUACACAUGCAAGUCGAACGGUAACAGGUCUUCGGAUGCUGACGAGUGGCGAACGGGUGAGUAAUGCAUCGGAACGUGCCCAGUUGUGGGGGAUAACUGCUCGAAAGAGCAGCUAAUACCGCAUACGACCUGAGGGUGAAAGCGGGGGAUCGCAAGACCUCGCGCAAUUGGAGCGGCCGAUGUCAGAUUAGGUAGUUGGUGGGGUAAAGGCCUACCAAGCCGACGAUCUGUAGUUGGUCUGAGAGGACGACCAGCCACACUGGGACUGAGACACGGCCCAGACUCCUACGGGAGGCAGCAGUGGGGAAUUUUGGACAAUGGGCGCAAGCCUGAUCCAGCAAUGCCGCGUGCAGGAAGAAGGCCUUCGGGUUGUAAACUGCUUUUGUCAGGGAAGAAAUCCUCUGGGUUAAUACCCCGGGGGGAUGACGGUACCUGAAAAAUAAGCACCGGCUAACUACGUGCCAGCCGCCGCCGUAAUAC